GGUGACCUAGCUCAUAAACACUUUUCUAUAAAUAGGGGAUUUUGAACCCCAAAACAAUAAUAAUUUGCAGGAAGAUGGUGUCAAAAUAAACAAACUAGUUAUUGCCUCGUUCGUUGUGCCUUCUCCCCCUUACAAGUGCCCUGGGUGAAGUCUUCUGCUCCCAUAUGUUGCAUGUUUUUCUGUUCUUUCUCAAGUAGGAGGGACAUAGGGGUCAUUUUGGUGGGGAGACCCGAAGCUAGAGAGAAAGAGCGGCCUGAAAAUCAAAAUCGGCAUUGUUGGACUUAUUGAAGUUUUAGAUUUUCGAAUUUUGGAGCCAGAGGUUUUGGUUUGAUAUAUUAAAUCAUUUUCGAGUUUCAUCCCGUAGUUUACAGGUGUCUAAAUUCCGCGGCCAACCGAAGACAUUCACUAAUAUUCUCCGGAGAAACAAAGUCUACAGCGACCUUUGUGCAUGACUGCAGUUAGAAGAAUAUGAUUACGUUUUUACAAUUAAAAGAAUACAUAAUAAAUUAGUGAUGUAAAUUAGAGGUGGAGAUAACUUACUUUCAAAUUCCUAACUUGAUGGGCGCAACCAGCUGGAAUAAAUACUGCCUCUCCAAGUCUUUGUUCAAAAGUCCAUGGUUCUACACCUGACAAUAAAAGAAAUGUUGUGUCAUCGUAUGUUUAAUGUUUGAACGGUAAAUAAAUGAAAUUUUCCAAACAUACUAACCAUAUUCUUCUUUAAGUUUUUGCUUGUGAUCCA